GAGUGGCCCUCCGAGACUUAGACAUUCAAGUCAACCAUUCUUGUCUUUUUUUCCUUCACCUUGGAAGCCACGAAACGUUUUUGUCAGCUGAAUGGAGAGUAAAAAGCAAACGAGGAGACAGAGAGUCUACUCACUGGGCUGCCGACACGACCUCCUUAUCUUCAUCACCAGUGCCUCAUUGUGUAUCAAGAAGGCAGAAUGGGCAAACCAUUGGGGAACAGGAACAUGGGGCUAUCAAAAUCUGUAGAAGAGAGAGCCUUGUCGAAGAAGAUGGAGGAUGAUCAAAAGAAGCUGCCAGCUGGUCCAGCCCCUUAUUUUCACAAGGAUUGCAUAUCGAAUAUCCUUAUUUGGCUGCCUCUUGAAUCACUUCCAAGUUCAAGAUUUGUGUGUAAGCCAUGGUACAAUAUAAUUAACAGCCGAACUUUCAUCGAUUCACAUUUCCGUCGCUCUGAAUCUGUUUUGAUCUUUCUAAAAUCAGUCUCAAGAGGAAGAUCAUACCCUUAUUCAAGACCAGACCCUUUUUCUAUGACAUCAAUGCCAGAGGAACAAGGUAAUACCUUUUCAGUUGAAGUAGCUUUGCUUCAAUCGAACUUAAAAACUGUCCCCAUUUUUGGGCCCCAUGUCACUGGCAGCUCAUCAAAAUUCUUUAUCCAGUUCAUGGAAUUUAAAGAAGGAAAGAUCAAGGUAGGGAAGUAUAAUGUUAGCUGCCUGGGAAACAUUAGAGCUACAUGCAAUGGCCUUAUUUUGCUUGAUAACCAUGUGAAGAAAGGACUGAUAGUCAUGAAUCCCGUGACACGGAAGCUCAUUACACUUCCUCUUGGUACUUUGUGUAAUUAUCACAAGGAGUCCUAUGGCUUUGCAUUGAAUCAUGUCACCGGAGACUAUAAGUUGGUGCACCUUUUUCGGGAUGAGUUUGAGUAUGUCACCUGUGAGACACUAGAUCUUGCGACAAGAUCAUGGAGGGCAGUGAAUGGACCUUCAUUUGGCCUAUUUAAUUGGUUCGGGCAUGCACCUGUUUCUGCAAUUGGAGCUCUGCAUUGGAUUCCGCAGCUUGAUAAUAGUGAUUUCAUAGUGUCAAUGGAAGUGGAGAACGAAAGAUUUCAUUGCAUACCGCUACCCCACCGUUGUACUACUCAUGACAGGGUUAUGGAGAUGGGUGGUCUCUUAUGUUUUGUCACACAUGAAGACUUGAACAUUGAUAUUUGGAACUUGAAGAGUGUGCCUGAAGGCAUUUGGACAAAGCAAUAUAGCAUCACUAAAGGUAGCUUAAUUGACAUGGUUCCGCUUUUUAGUUUAAGAAUCAGUGGAGAUGUAAUUUUCAGGAGGAAGGAAGAUGGCUCAUUCCAUGCUUAUGACUUUAAAUCUGAAGUGAUGAGAGAGUUUGAGAUGGACAAAGAACGCAACCUAUCAUCUGGCGCAUACCUGCCUCAUGUAAACAGCCUUCUCUCAUGGACACCAAGUCAUCAUGUGUCUGAUUGACUUCCCUGUUGGCUGGUACCAGUAAAGGGAGUGACGAUGACAUAUAUAUAUCAUCUAAUCAUAUAGCUAUAUAGUUUGUGGGUUACUUCUCCGUUUCUGCGCUUUUAUUUUGUGUAUACUACUGAUGGAAGAACUAUAUAUAUAUACAUACACACACACCCUGGGAUGUGAAAUAUGUAGUACAAUGUUGAUGAAAUGUAAUUGAGCACUCCUCCUGCAAUCAGCGUCCUGUCAACUGGAUGUAGGUCGAACCAGCUCAUAUCCUAGUCUAAAAGCAGAAGGUUGGAUCAAAGUUUAAUGGGUUCUAUCUGAUGUGGUGACUGGUGAUGAUGAGAAUCGAUCAAAAACUGCUGAAAUGAACGUGUAUUCACACACCUGACAGUAACAUUUGUCGUAAACAAUUUCAGGAACUUUAUGUGAACGAUGGACACUCUAUAUGUAUCAAGUAAAGAAAACAAGUUGAGAAGGCGAAUGCCCCUUCAAGGUCUACCCAAUCCACCAAGCAGGCGUGAAUCAAAGAAAGUUAAAUCUAUUUUAUAGACUAUUAAUCACAAUUAAGAUUUUGUGCUCAAUAAUUUAUCAAUUUAAUAGGCGUGGCUUUAUUUUUUUCUAUAAAAUAA